CGGGAGUAAUGUCUGGGAAACUGCCUGAUGGAGGGGGAUAACUGCUGGAGACGGUAGCUAAUACCGCAUAACGUCGCAAGACCAAAGAGGGGGACCUUCGGGCCUCUUGCCAUCGGAUGUGCCCAGAUGGGAUUAGCUAGUAGGUGGGGUAACGGCUCACCUAGGCGACGAUCCCUAGCUGGUCUGAGAGGAUGACCAGCCACACUGGAACUGAGACACGGUCCAG
rnacentral:rRNA from 1 species